AACCCCUGUGACAUACCUAUCGUUGCUUCGGCGGGACCGCCCCGGGCCUUCGUGCUCGGAACCAGGCGCCCGCCGGGGACCACAAACUCUUGUAUUUUUUGGAAUCUUCUGAGUGAAAAAACAAAUGAAUCAAAACUUUCAACAACGGAUCUCUUGGUUCUGGCAUCGAUGAAGAACGCAGCGAAAUGCGAUAAGUAAUGUGAAUUGCAGAAUUCAGUGAAUCAUCGAAUCUUUGAACGCACAUUGCGCCCGCCAGUAUUCUGGCGGGCAUGCCUGUUCGAGCGUCAUUUCAACCCUCAAGCCCCCGGGCUUGGUGUUGGGGACCGGCCACCGCGGACUCGUCCGCCGGCCGCCCCCUAAAUCUAGUGGCGGUCACGCCGCGGCUUCCUCUGCGUAGUAGCACACCUCGCAGCCGGAUCGCGGCGCGGCCACGCCGUAAAACCCCAACUCUGAAAUG
rnacentral:rRNA from 1 species